ACUUUGCACGCCGCCCAGGGCUACACCACUCACCGAAAAUUGGGAGGCAGGUGCUGGAGAAUCUGGUAAAAGCACCAUUGUGAAGCAGAUGAGGAUCCUGCAUGUUAAUGGGUUUAAUGGAGACAGUGAGAAGGCAACCAAAGUGCAGGACAUCAAAAACAACCUGAAAGAGGCGAUUGAAACCAUUGUGGCCGCCAUGAGCAACCUGGUGCCCCCCGUGGAGCUGGCCAACCCCGAGAACCAGUUCAGAGUGGACUACAUUCUGAGUGUGAUGAACGUGCCUGACUUUGACUUCCCUCCCGAAUUCUAUGAGCACGCCAAGGCUCUGUGGGAGGAUGAAGGAGUGCGUGCCUGCUACGAACGCUCCAACGAGUACCAGCUGAUUGACUGUGCCCAGUACUUCCUGGACAAGAUCGAUGUGAUCAAGCAGGCUGACUAUGUGCCGAGCGAUCAGGACCUGCUUCGCUGCCGCGUCCUGACUUCUGGAAUCUUUGAGACCAAGUUCCAGGUGGACAAAGUCAACUUCCACAUGUUUGACGUGGGUGGCCAGCGCGACGAACGCCGCAAGUGGAUCCAGUGCUUC
rnacentral:sRNA from 1 species